rnacentral:misc_RNA from 1 species
UCUGGAAGCAAGCCUGAUAACUUCAAGGUCAUUGUUUCUUCUCACAAUUUUCAUAAUACUCCAUCUGCCGAGGCCAUUGCCAAUCUUGUUGCAAGAAUUCAAGCUAGUGGAGCUGACAUUGUCAGUAUUGCAACGACUGCUUUAGACAUUACAGAUUGUGCUCGUAUUUUUCAGAUUAUGGUGCAUUCUCAGGUCCCAAUAAUCGGAAUUGUUAUGGGUGAGAGGGGCUUGAUUUCUCGGUUGCUUAGCCCCAAGUUUGGUGGAUACCUGACUUAUGGUGCACUGGAGCAAGGUGCUAUAUCAGCUCCUGGACAACCAACUGCAAAGGAUUUGUUGGAUUUAUACAACUUCAGGCUUAUAAGGCCUGAUACCAAAGUGUAUGGCAUUAUUGGGAAACCUGUUGGUCACAGCAAGAGUCCUCUCUUGUUCAACGCAUCAUUUAAGUCCGUUGGCCUUAACGCAGUUUACAUGCAUUUUCUGGUGGAUGACGUGGAGAAGUUUUUCAACACCUAUUCAUCUAUUGAUUUUGCUUCUGGAUGCAGCUGCACUAUCCCUCAUAAGGAGGUUGCACUUAAAUGCAUGAAUGAAAUUGACCCCAUUGCCAAGAAAAUUGGAGCAAUCAACAACAUUGUCAGGAGACCUGAUGGGACUUUAAUGGCUUACAACACUGACUACAUUGGUGCCAUUUCUGCGAUCGAGGAUGGACUACGAGAACUAAAUGGCGCAGUCCCAGCAGGUACCUCACCCUUAUCUGGUAAACUGUUUGUGGUUCUGGGAGCUGGGGGAGCUGGCAAGUCACUUGCCUAUGGUGGUGCACAAAAAGGAGCAAGAGUUGUGGUUGCCAAUCGAACAUUUGAACGAGCUAAGGAGCUGGCUGACAAAGUUGGUGGCCAAGCAAUGACCCUUGCAGAAGUAGAACAUUUCCACCCAGAAGAAGGAAUGGUUCUUGCAAAUACCACAUCUGUGGGAAUGAAACCCAACUUUGACGCCACCCCAUUAGCAAAGCAUGCCUUGAAACAUUAUUGCCUAGUCUUUGAUGCCAUUUACACACCAAAAGACACAAGACUCUUAAGGGAAGCAAGAGAAAGUGGAGCUGUUAUCGUCUAUGGAACAGAAAUGUUGAUCCGUCAAGGCUUUGAACAGUACAAGAACUUCACUGGCUUGCCUGCCCCAGAAGAAUUGUUCAGGCAACUCAUGGAGAAACAUGCAUAAGAAGCAAUUUAAUUCCAAGUCUUGUCUACUGUUUUAGUUGAAACCAUCUCCUUUUCUGCCACAAGUUAUAGCUAGUGAUUUUAAUUACUAAGUUGUACCAAUAAAUUUUCUUUGAGAAUC